rnacentral:lncRNA from 1 species
CCAUCUUCUUUACUGCAUGUGUCAGAUAGUUUGAUGUUUGAGCCUCACCUAGUUUCCCAAAUCCCAUUAGACCUUACUCAACCUUUUCUUGACUCAUACUUUCUUACUUUAGUUGACAACCAGACCCCGCUCCCACCUAUCGCAUCAAUAUCACGUACCCAACCCACUCAACAGCCUUUUGUCCCAUCACCAAGUCACAUCGUCCCAUCUUUUUCCCAUAUCCCUCAUAAUACUACUAACCCAUUUGCUUGUUCAGAUGAUCAUGCUUCUAGCCAACCAUCUUCUUUACUGCAUGUGUCAGAUAGUUUGAUGUUUGAGCCUCACCUAGUUCGUCUUCUUUACCCAUUGUAUCUCCGCAUGGUUCCUGAGCUAGUUCGCCAUACUACACGACCCUCUAAGCCACCCACAUGGUUACGAGAUUAUGUUUGCUGCUCUUACUCGUCUUCUUCCUCUCCACUUGAGGUAGGUCAGUAUCCUCUUUCAUUUUCUUUCACUUCUCAUCAUUUACCUUGUCACACUCAGUUUUUUGUUGCUUCUACUUCUCAUAUUCCUGAACCAAAAAAUUAUAUUGAUACUCUUAAAGAUGAGAGAUGGGUUGCAGCUAAGCAACAAGAGAUUCAGGCAUUAGAAUCAAAUUUCACUUGGGAUGUAGGUCCUUUGCCCCUUGGUAAAACACCUAUUGGUUGCAAAUGGGUCUUGAAGGUGAAAUAUAAUUCUGAUGGCAUGGUUGAACGUUCAAAGCUCAUCUUAUUGGACAAGGGUUUACUAACAGGAGGGUGUUGCCUAUCAUGAAACUUUUUCUCCGGUUGCUAAACUAGUUACGGUACGAACUGUUAUUGCUCUUGCUGCUCAACAAGGCUGACCACAGUUUCAGAUGGAUGUUUAUAAUGUUUUUUUACAAGGUGAUGUGUUUGAAGAAGUUUACAUGAUGCUUCCAAUUGGUUUUUGCACUCAGGGGGAGACUUGGGUUUGUCGACUGCGAAAAUCUCUUUAUGGAUUGAAACAAGCCUCAAGACAAUGGAAUAUGAAGCUCACGGAAGCUAUUCUACUCAAUGGAUAUUCAUAAAGUAAGUAUUCUCUGUUCACUAAAAGAGUUAUGGAUCAAGUUGUCAUGAUGCUUAUAUAUGUGGAUGAUCUGUUAAUAACUGGAAACGAUGACAAGCUUAUUUCUGAGUUGAAACAAGUGCUACAUCAAAGUUUCAAAAUGAAGGAUUUAGGGGAUCUCAAGUAUUUUCUGGGUAUUAAAGUUUUUUGAUCCAAGGUAGGGAUUGUUCUGAGUCAACUAAAGUAUGCCCGAGUUAAUUUCAAACAUGAGGCUCACCGGUGGAAAAGUGGCUGCUACUCCUUUAAAGAAAAAUUUGAAAUUGACCUCUGUAGAAUACAAUGAAGCUGUUCAAGCCAACCAAGAUGAUGAAGUUUUAUCAGACACAAUUGUACCAACGACUGAUUGAGAGAUUUUUAUAUUUGAUUCAUAUGAGGCCUGAUAUAGCUUUUGCAGUGCAACAUCUAAGUGAGUUAAUGCAACGACCGAAAAAUUCACAUUACAAGGCGACACUCAGAAUUGUACGUUAUGUGAAAAAAGAUUUAGGAUGGGGCUUCUUUUUUUUUCCAGCAAAAAGGUCUUUUAGAUUGAUAGCAUAUUGUGACUCCGAUUGGGCAUAUUGGGCAUAUUGUCCUAUGUCGAGAAAGUCAGUAUCGAGAUGUUGUGUCAAAAUAGGAGACUCAUUAAUCUCAUGGAAAUUGAGAAAACAAAAUACGAUCUCCAGGCAGAAUUUAGAACUAUGGCAUCAACAACUGCGAAUAUUGUUUAGUUAAGUGGGUUGUUGGAUGAAAUUGUCUUUAGGGUCAAUUCUUCAUUUCUUUUGAUUUGAGGAGGAGGGCUUUUGAAAAGUGAUGUGGAAAAGUGUUUUUUAGAAGUACUUU